AAGCAUUGUGCCAGUUCCGUUUAAAUGUAUCUGCCGUGGAUCUGGUCAAGUGGAGAUAAUCCAUGCAAAUCAGAAACUGUGGUUGUCAGUGUGUGGUUCCCGGAGAGGACUCAGCCUGAGGAGGUCACUCGUCCACAGCCGCUCCUCCCAUUCUAUCUCUCCCCUUAUUGCAGAACUGCUGUAUGUACACACUGGCAGAAAGGACUCAAUUGACUUCAACUGCUGCCUGGUUUUGCUUACAACUUUUUCUUAUAAAGGAACUUACCUCCAUCUGUCUUUUCAAGGUUGACAAGCCACUUCCUCCAAACUCCACAACUCAUUCUGAUGACUAUGGAGCCUACAUAGUUUCUAGAGAUAAACGAUGAAUUUCACAGUAUCAGAAGAUGACUGUGUUGGCAGUUUUAUUGCGUGCAUGUACAUUACCAUCAACCAAUACUUACUGAUCUGUCCCAUGAAGUCAAUGAACAUUUUGCAAGCAGAUGGGCUACAGGUUCAGAAAAAAAAAAAAAUCAAUGACUAUUUGAGCGAGCAAGUGAAUUAGGGAGAGUAAAAGCAGUCUAUGUGCUUUCUCUUGGAGGGAAAGUCAAGAUCCAGUCGUCAGAAGACAAACCCAGUGUUGAUGGCUGAAGUCAGGAGCGCAGGCGUCUCUCUGGCUAGGAAUCCGAUUGCUGUUUUCAUUCCAUAAACUGAUUUCCCGAUGGAUUUGAAUAAUUUCGACAUUGAGAAGACAAAACCCUGUUUGUGGUUCUUUGUUGUGCAGCUCAAGGCCAGUUUCCCUCCUAAUCAUUUUUCAUUUGCCUUCCUCUCCACUCAUUUUGCCAGUUUGCAUUUUUUUGUGCUGCUACCCACAAACCCCUCUUCUUGCUGAGGAGUGUCCAUUUGUCUUGCAGUUUUCCCCUGUGUCUAUCAACUCUGCCUUGCACUCAGCCUUCCUGUUUUGGAGCCCUAAUUUUGUUCAAAGCCUUAUCAAUUAAUUGGGCAUAAAACACCUUGGCUCUUCUAUGGAAAUCACCUUCCCCUCUAGCUUAAGGCAUCGCCAGUGGUAAAAUGGAUUCAUUUUGUAUUUGCAGACAUUUCAGGGGUGGGAUCAUACUUUCCAUUGAUACCUUUUUAAAAAAAAAGAUUUCUGUCAGUGAUGGAAAUACUAUUGCUGAGAGUUUGCAAAUGCCCAAAUAUACAAGAAAUAAA